UUGAGGAAUUGUGGGUUGAUAGAAGAACGAUAGAAGAAACAUUUUAAGCAAACGAACAACAAAGAUUUAAUUAAUCAGCCAAUCACAAGUACCAUUUUUGACUGCAAACGGGCGGCAGAUCAAUCGAAAGACAUUCAUACUGUACUAUGCAUUGCUGUUGAGUUACUGUCACGUGGGGUAAACUAACGAUAGCAACAGAGGGUAAUACUGAUAGUGAUAGGACUCUGGCACCGGGAGAAGAUAAGUUGUAUCCGACCCCAAGGGUUAAAAGUUUGCAGAAGCUGCAAGGACCAUAUCAAGUUGACAAUGUCUGGGUCUGACAAAAAAGCUGUUAUCAAAAAUGCAGAUAUGUCAGAAGAAAUGCAGCAAGAUGCUGUUGACAUAGCAACCCAAGCACUGGAAAAGUUCAACAUUGAGAAGGACAUAGCUGCUUUUAUAAAGAAGGAGUUUGACAAGAAGUAUAAUCCAACAUGGCAUUGUAUAGUUGGACGCAAUUUUGGAAGCUAUGUCACUCAUGAAACAAAGCAUUUUAUUUACUUCUAUUUAGGCCAGGUUGCCAUUUUACUAUUUAAGUCUGGUUGAAAAGUUUUCUUUAAGCAUUCCUUUAUUUAGAUGUAAAUGUUUACUUAAGUAGCAGUGAAAGUAUUCAGUUGUUGCUGUUACUGGGCCAAGGUGUGCCAUGUAUUUACUUGUAAAUUCUGUUAUUUUUCUCAGUGAUUUAAGCUAUUUUAAUGAUUAAUAAUUUGUAAAGUGGUGUAAUUGAAUAUGUCUGAAGGGCAGUUAGUGCUGAAUUUACAUUGUUUCAUCAGUUUGUUGCAUUUCACUACAUAUGUACUGAGAUAUUUUGUUGGACACUGAAAAAAAUGACAUUACAUGUUAUAUGAGGUUUUUUUUGUGGUGUUUUUGAAACCAGUAGAAUGUAAUAGGGACAUUAGAACCUCAUUUCGUUAAAAACUAGUAUAAGACUCGCUUCUGUUUCCCCAGUUACAUAAAUUUUGUUGUAUGUAGUUUUUUGGAUUGUAAUUAAUUACUUGUGUUUGUAAUAUUUGAGCACUAAUAAAGCAAACUUAUAAAUAUAA